rnacentral:tRNA from 1 species
GCCUUCGGGGUGUAGUGGUCAGUACGCUCGACGCGUAACCGAAAGGUCCGUGGUUCGAUUCCCGGCGAAGGCG